UGUCCUUGAGGUUUACUGUGUUUGGCAUCGCAGUUCCGACGGCAGCCGCCGUUUCGCGACCCACGGCGGACUUGCAUAAACACUUUCUAGUUGGAAUCUCACCCUGUGAGGUGGGCAAGGUAGUGAUAUUCCUGUUUGACGCCGACAGAAAUAAGAGAGAUUGACUCUCAGAACCAUGUGGCGGGAUUUUAAAGGAGGAUCUUAACAGUGGCUCGGACAGACCCGUGUUUUCUGCUCCUAGCAUUAACUACGUCGUUAAACCCUUCUGAAUUUAUUUCGUCUGUGAAAUGGGGAAAAGAUAGCCACCUUGCAUAACUGGUGAAGAAUUCGUAAACUGACAGCAGAAUCUAGUAAGAGGACUGGCCCGUGGUCGGCUCUUAAUGGUGUCACAGAAUAAAGAAAAAGACUGGGAGAGAGAUGGGAGCUGAUAGACCAGAGGAGACCAAAGACUGAAACUGAAGACUAAACCAUGGAAAUUGGGAACAAGCACUUACUCGCUUAGAGGGUGAAAAAAGUGAAUUUGCCUACAGGGCCAAUUUGGAAGCACCUCUCCCUGGAAGCCAGUCAAUGAAGAGCCAUUGGAGGAUUUUAAAUAAGGAACCGAAAAAUGGAGUCUGAAAAUAGAGGCGCAGAGACCGGUAAGUUGGUGGUUGCCAAUCAGUGGUCCAAGGAAAAGAUAAAUGAGCAGAGCCGUGAUCAGGACCAGAGAGGAGGCAACAGAAAAGAGAUGCUCAGGAUACAAUCGAUGCGCUUCGAGAGUGACUGGAGGUGGGGCACUGUAGAAUAAGUGACAUGGAGAGAUCUAGAUUGACCUCUGGGCCUACAGCUCAGGAAAAUGGGUGGGAGGUGGCAUUCAGAGAGACCAGGAGCACUCCUUAUCUUUCAGAGCCCAACACAUAAUCACCAACAGCUGACUUAUGAAUAAGAUCUUGGGGUCCUUGAAACACCGAAACACUGGAAUUUUUAGAAUUUUACAUUCUUACUGCCCAAGAAAACCCCUUGCAAAGAAAAAAAACAACUUAAGAAAAGUAAAAGUAUUUAAAAGGCUCCAACUUCUCCCAAACACCUCCUCUUUUCUGACUCUCCCAAUUGUAUAGUCACAGCAAUAAUAGCAGCCACAUAUUAAGUCAUUACCAUCUAUAGCCAAAUAACUGCAAAACCACAAGAGGGCAAUGAAAAUGGCCAUAAAGGCACAGAGUAGUAAUUAUUUUCCCAUUAGCACCAGCUACACUAAUAUCAACAUAGAACAAUUAACAUUCCUAACCUCAUAAUUAGGCUAUAACCUCUGCAUGUCUUGCCAGAGUAGAUUGAUGAAUGGCACAGGAGGAAUAAGCAACAAUAAGGCAGCCGUGCAGUGAGACCACUGCAUCCUCACCUUGUCUGCGGGUGAUCCACAGUGCUGUUGGAUAGAAAGGCAGUGGGAGAACUUGGUUGUGAUUUCCACUGAUCUAGCCAGUCCCCAGCUAAAAGCCAUCGAAUUCAGCUGCACUUUCUUUGAGUCCCAGGAAGUGAGUGUUUGAGUGGGAGAAAAGCUACAGCAGUAAUAACACAGAAGGCAGAGUCCUUUUGCAUUUAUAUCUCUUUAUUCUGUCCAUCACUAGGCAACCAUUCUUUGUGCUUAAAACUACACAUCUUUGUACAUGUGACACCUUCUACUCUGAAGUAACCACUUUGGUUUGCAGUGUGCUAGGGGAUAUCUAUUCUGUUUAUUUCUGUUUAGGUCAACCACAAUGAAGAACAAGCCAUUUUGACCUCCAUCCUGGCUCAUCUCCUCUGUGUUCUCAUAGCAUCAU
ensembl:lncRNA SMIM2-AS1 SMIM2 antisense RNA 1